rnacentral:rRNA from 1 species
AUGCAGUCGACGAGAUUAAGGUGCUUGCACCUUAUGAAAGUGGCGCACGGGUGCGUAACGCGUAUGCAACCUACCUUAAUCAGGGGGAUAGCCCGAAGAAAUUCGGAUUAACACCGCAUAAAAUCACAGGACGGCAUUGUCCAAUGAUCAAAUAUUUAUAGGAUUAAGAUGGGCAUGCGUGUCAUUAGCUAGUUGGCGGGGUAACGGCCCACCAAGGCGACGAUGACUAGGGGAUCUGAGAGGAUGGCCCCCCACACUGGUACUGAGACACGGACCAGACUCCUACGGGAGGCAGCAGUAAGGAAUAUUGGUCAAUGGAGGGAACUCUGAACCAGCCAUGCCGCGUGCAGGAAGACAGCCCUCUGGGUCGUAAACUGCUUUUAUUCGGGAAUAAACCUACUUACGUGUAAGUAGCUGAAUGUACCGAAGGAAUAAGGAUCGGCUAACUCCGUGCCAGCAGCCGCGGUAAUACGGAGGAUCCAAGCGUUAUCCGGAUUUAUUGGGUUUAAAGGGUGCGUAGGCGGCUUAUUAAGUCAGGGGUGAAAGACGGUGGCUCAACCAUCGCAGUGCCCUUGAUACUGAUGAGCUUGAAUACAUUAGAGGUAGGCGGAAUGUGACAAGUAGCGGUGAAAUGCAUAGAUAUGUCACAGAACACCGAUUGCGAAGGCAGCUUACAAUGGUGUGAUUGACGCUGAGGCGCGAAAGCGUGGGGAUCAAACAGGAUUAGAUACCCUGGUAGUCCACGCCCUAAACGAUGAUACUCGCUGUUAGCGAUAUACAGUUAGCGGCUAAGCGAAAGCGUUAAGUAUUCCACCUGGGGGAGUACGCCCGCAAG